GGCAGUAUGAAGAAUGGAUUGAUUAGUAUUCAAAAGACCUGGGUUCAAAUCCUGGUUCUGCCC
rnacentral:tRNA from 1 species